GAUGAAGAACGCAGCGAAAUGCGAUACGUAAUGUGAAUUGCAGAAUUCCGUGAAUCAUCGAAUCUUUGAACGCACAUUGCGCCCGCCAGCAUUCUGGCGGGCAUGCCUGUUCGAGCGUCAUUUCAACCCUCGACCUCCCCUUGGGGAGGUCGGCGUUGGGGACCGGCAGCACACCGCCGGCCCUGAAAUGGAGUGGCGGCCCGUCCGCGGCGACCUCUGCGCAGUAAUACAGCUCGCACCGGGACCCCGACGCGGCCACGCCGUAAAACACCCAACUUCUGAACGUUGACCUCGAAUCAGGUAGGACUACCCGCUGAACUUAAGCAUAUCAAUAAGCGGAGGA
rnacentral:misc_RNA from 1 species